rnacentral:rRNA from 1 species
AUUGAACGCUGGCGGCAUGCCUUACACAUGCAAGUCGAACGGUAACGGGCCUUCGGGUGCCGACGAGUGGCGAACGGGUGAGUAAUACAUCGGAACGUGCCCGAUCGUGGGGGAUAACGAGGCGAAAGCUUUGCUAAUACCGCAUACGAUCUACGGAUGAAAGCAGGGGACCGCAAGGCCUUGCGCGGACGGAGCGGCCGAUGGCCGAUUAGGUAGUUGGUGGGAUAAAAGCUUACCAAGCCGACGAUCUGUAGCUGGUCUGAGAGGAUGAUCAGCCACACUGGGACUGAGACACGGCCCAGACUCCUACGGGAGGCAGCAGUGGGGAAUUUUGGACAAUGGGCGCAAGCCUGAUCCAGCCAUGCCGCGUGCAGGAUGAAGGCCUUCGGGUUGUAAACUGCUUUUGUACGGAACGAAAAGCCUUCUUUUAAUACAGGAGGGUCAUGACGGUACCGUAAGAAUAAGCACCGGCUAACUACGUG